rnacentral:lncRNA from 1 species
CCCUGAAGUCGAUAUGCAGAUUCACUCACAUCUUAACAAAUUACGUCACAUCCUCAAUCACAAGGACUUAUUUUAACAAAUGAGUAUAGAAAAAUGACAGAGAAAGACACACAUGCAAGCUUUGAAUCUAGCUUCAUUUAACAUUCACAUUUGCUAAGAGAAUCCUAAGGCUCUCCCCUGUUGAUCCUACCACAGCCCGACUAAUAUAACUUCUAAGAGAUGCAUCCAAAACAAGUUGAAUCAACAAAUACUAGGAAAAAUUCAAUUACAAUUACCAUGAAACUUACAAUUCACAGCACAGUCCCAUUUAUACACGCCAUAAUAGCAAAUUUAGGUCAUUAUAUUAACUGAAACAUUUUUAAGGUUGAAUAUUACAAACAUAAAUGAGGUUGGACAAAAUGAAUGAGAUCCAACAUGGAUUUCAUCAUUAUUGUUCAAAUUCCAAAGCCAGACUUCAAAUACACCUAGGUGAUGUCCAUGGAGUUUUGGAGAAUACCUGUUCACAGCAAACAAACAACACCAAAGCCUGAAGUUAUGACCCAAUUGCAGGAGCAGUUUAGCAAAGAAGAUACAACAACAAAAUCAAUUCAAAACCAGUAAUGGAAUACUGACCAGCAGCAUUCGAAUCAGUCUUUGAAUCCCAGAAAAAGAGAAAAGUUAUGAAGAUUUCAGAAUCAGGAUCAGUUGCAAAAACCAGUCUGAUUUUACCAAAAAAUGCAAGAAUUCUCCAGUACUUUCAGCUCAACUUUUCAUAAUCCCUUUCAGAAUUUUUACCUCUUUAGGAAUCUCUUUAAAGGCAAGCUACUAGGGCAACUUUAAAAUGUUCAGUUUUGCAUUUUAGACCUUUUUGAAUUUUCUUUUUGCUUAAAAAUCCCUAGAUUAUUGACUUGUUGGCCAAGUAAAACCUAUUUUCAGCUUCUAGGAAGCUUCUUCAGGUGGUUACCAAAAGAUUUUCUAGAUGAACUUACCCAAAUUGCCCCCCCCCCCAUACCCAUGAAAAUUACUUUAGUUUCAGCUCUCUAACCUUCAGCUUAUGGGUCAAGUUAACCCAAGAUUUAGCCCCAAAAACCAGAUUGACUUCCCUUACUUUGGGCCUCAGAUUUUAACAGGAACCCAUCCCAAUUUUAUAAUUGACAAGGCACACAACCCAAAAUUCACAACCCAAAUCAGUUACGAAUUGCAAUCAGAAACAAACAAAAACGAAUUACUUAACACUAACAUGAGAAUCAAAUAAAUGCAACUAACAUGCUUUCACUUUAAUCAUGCAAACAUUGCUUCAACAAGUGAACAAUAAUAAGGCACAAAAAAGAUGAACAGCAGAAGGUGACGAUGGGGUGACGAACAAUAGAAUGGAGAAAAGGAGAAGAACAGGGGCAUCUAAUCAAGAGACGCAGAUAAACGAAACUUGAUGGAACCCGGACCUUUCGAUUUCGAGCCGAACUUGGUCUCAAUCAUGCGUUCUUGUCAAUAACGGACAAACGAGGCUAGUUUCGACUCUAAACCUCUUGCUAAAAUUGGAGAAAAUGUUAGGAUAUUCGUCCCCUGGAACUUCAAACCUUGGAUUUCGGAUUCGGCGAAUUCUGGCCUCAUUCGAGAAGAACUGGCUUGGGAUUUGGAGAGAGGGGAGUGUGAUGGUGAUUUGGUGUUGAUUUGGGUGAGGUUGGAGCUUUGUUGCCUGUGAAAAUGGUGGAUUAGGAUUUUUUUAGAGGAGUAAGAGAUGAAGAAGAUGAAGGAGAUGGGGCAGAACUGAUUUGGUCUCUGGGGGUGGAUUCAGACACUUUUAAGAGAAAUGGGAAAAGUGUGGGAACCGUUGGAUGUG